AUUUGGCACGGGAUGAGCGUCGGUGACUCGUGCGAGACCAGCAGAGAGAAAGAGAGAAAUUGACGCAUGCUAAUGCUGAGAACUACCUAUAAAAACAAGAAUCAGGAGAAAGAAAGGAAUGGAGUGUGAGUGGUUACACAUUCACGACGCUAUUGAGAGUGAAAUGGCGGACACCGUGUCGGUGUCGGUGGACAUGGAAGCCAUUUCUCCUCCACCUGAGGAACAUGUUGUAAGAACUCGCUAUGGUUGCGUAUCUGUUGCUGUGUAUGGGGACCAGGACAAACCAGCGCUAAUCACGUAUCCUGAUUUGGCUUUAAAUUAUGUCUCCUGCUUUCAAGGGUUGUUAUUUUGUCCAGAAGCCUGUUCGCUACUGCUUCACAAUUUCUGCAUCUAUCAUAUUAGUCCACCUGGACACGAGUUGGGAGCUGCUGCCAUUGAUACAGACCGUCCAAUUCUUUCUGCCGACGACUUAGCUGAUCAAAUAGCAGAAGUUCUUAAUUAUUUUGGUCAGAGUGCAGUGAUGUGUAUGGGAGUAACUGCUGGGGCUUACAUUCUUGCCUUAUUUGCUGUGAAAUAUAGACACCGUGUUCUUGGUUUGAUACUUGUUUCCCCAUUAUGUAAAGCACCAUCUUGGACUGAAUGGCUGUACAAUAAGGUCAUGUCAAAUUUACUCUACUUUUACGGCAUGUGUGGGGUGGUUAAAGAAAUAUUGCUAAACCGAUACUUUAGCAAGGAAGUUCGAGGCAGUGACUAUUUGCCAGUGUCUGAUAUUGUUCAAGCAUGCCAAAGGUCAUUGGAUGAGAGGCAGAGUUUGAAUGUGUGGCGGUUCCUUGAAGCGAUUAAUGGGAGACAUGACAUCAGUGAAGGAUUGAGAAAAUUACAUUGUCGUUCACUAAUUUUUGUGGGGGAUAUGUCUCCUUUUCACUCCGAGGCUCUCCACAUGACAUCUAAGUUGGAUAGACGAUUCAGUGCCUUAGUUGAAGUUCAAGCGUGUGGGUCAAUGGUAACAGAGGAGCAACCUCAGGCCAUGUUAACACCGUUGGAGUACUUUCUCAUGGGAUAUGGCUUGUACAGACCAUCUAAGUUGAGUGUCAGCCCAAGAAGUCCCCUGAGUCCCUCUUGCAUUUCUCCUGAGCUUUACUCCCCGGAGAGCAUGGGUUUGAAAUUGAAACCAAUAAAGACACGAAUUUCAGUGGAGAUGUAGUACGGUAGUAGUCGUAGAUGAAUAAAGAUUAGCACCUAUUUUGUAUUUUGAUUGUUGCACAAGUUUAUAGUUCUUUGUUUUGUCAAAAUUCUGGUGAAGGGGGCCAUGUCAUUGUAGAUAGAUGGAGACGAACAGAGGAUCGACAGAGGAAAGAAAAAGGGGGAAGAGUUUACUUGAAAGCAGCUAUAGUCAUUCUUUCAUUUGUGUAGUCAUAGACUUCUUGCAGGUAUGCCCAAACCUCCAUGGCAUGACUAAUGGCGUCAACCUGGACAUCCUCAUAAAUAAUAUACCCUACCUACCAUGCAAAACAAUAAGCUCAGAUUUUGGCCUCAGUUCUGUUUUCUAUUUGAAUAAAGAAAAAGGUGCUUUAUAUCGUUAUGCGACUUUGUUACACCUUUAGUUAACAUUAAACCUUUGAUUACUCAUGCUUAUCCUGUUCCCAUGGUUAUUCUGGAUUUCUUCUUCAUUUCGACAGGCCUUUCUUUUGUUCAUUUCAGCAUACAUCUCUUCAAUCAUAGGUUUCCACAGCCGCACACGAGCAUUUAUAAACCAGUUGGAUACCUGAGUUUCAAGACACAACCAAGCAAGCAUAUCAGAUCGUUCAUCUUUGAACAAAGUAACAAACAAACAAGUAGAUAAAUACCUGACUUCUAGUCAACCCACUUUUCACUGCAAGUAAAUGCUUCUCUGCAUCUUUCGGAUACCUGAAAUCCAUUAAAUGAUAAAUAAAUACUUUCUUUACAUAUAUUCUUUAAAUUCGUUUCAUGGAUAAAACUCUGAUGAUUGAAGUAUAGAGCCAGUCCAAGAAGGCAUAUUGCAUAUUUGAAACUCACGGGUGUAGGAAAUUCUGAAACAUCCAUGCCCGUAGAACCGAGACAGAUCUUUCCGGCAAGCCUCUCUGGGGCCUCCACAGCUGAUCUUUUCUUUUCAACUGCUGGAGAGCCCAUUGCUUUUGAAGGAAUGAAGUUUCAAUAGACCAUUCACUGUCUUCCGUGCACGAUUUUUUGAAACUUGAUCCCAUGGCAAGAAUGUAGUUGCUAAUCCUCUCCCGUAAGUCCUUGUAAAGGACAGAGAUGGUUUGAAGAGCAAAAUGUGCAUGUAUCUGUGGGUCCAGCUCGGUAGCUGCAUGGAAUGCAGAUACAACAUGUCAUACCAGUUGUAGAAGUGCCAGCAGUUGAGCUUUCUUAGAUUCAGCAGCCUGCCUUUGCAAAGGAGACUCUGCAUGAGAUUCGUAAACAGAACUUGCAUUGUGAUCUGUCAAGAUGUUUCUCUUGGGUGGAAACGCUGAAGUUGACUUGUGUCCACCUGCUCUAUUACCAGGGGCUGAAUAGUUUAACUGUUCCAGAUUUUGAAAUGAAUAUCUUGCAAUUUGAGCAAGUAUCUCUUGAAUCCCAAGAAGGUAUCUCGAUUCCAGUACUUCCGGUGAAAUUUGUGCAUGUUUAUUACCACCCAAAUUCAUAGAAAUUUCCCUACUACUGCUGCAGGAAAUGGUUCCAUUCAUGCACGGGGUCAUAUUAGAGCAAGUCACGUCUGAGCACUGUCCUGCGGCUGUAGAUGUUGCAAGACUCAGAGAAAGUUCUUUACUAAAAUUAGAGGAAUAGUGAGCAUAGUUGGCCAUGUUUGCAACGUUUGAUGUUGCCCAUACAUUUGGAUCCAGGUUUGCCACAGAAGAAUAGGGCUGACAAGUUCCAUCAUUCUCUGGAGCUUUAGGAAAUUUGUUAGCAUUCCACUUACUAGGAAUUUCAUUGUAAGCACACUCCUCAAAAGUUCCAAACCAAGGGUUUGAAGUACCAUGCAAAUUGUUGAAGAAUACCUCUAGUGCCCCCGUGGAAAAGAUUGAGGGAGCUAGGGCGGCGGCUGAAUUCUCCAAAUUUUCUUCAAGACCAAUUCUAUCAGCAAGAAUGGCAGCAAGCGAAGCAGGAGUGAGGGGCACUCCUCCAACUAAAUGCUCUUGAAACUCAGAGUUCGCCAUGGGAUUUGAGGCAUCUCCCACAAUAGUCUUUCUCCGUGAUGUAACUAAUGGAGUGGAGUCAGCAAUAGUUGAUGGACUAAUGAAGCAAGCAUCAGCAUGGACAUUACUUGUAGGUUCACCUUGCUCUCCAGAAAGCAUUGAAAUUCCAUUUAUGAUA